AGUGAACGCUGGCGGUAGGCCUAACACAUGCAAGUCGAACGGCAGCACAGUAAGAGCUUGCUCUUACGGGUGGCGAGUGGCGGACGGGUGAGGAAUACAUCGGAAUCUACUUUUUCGUGGGGGAUAACGUAGGGAAACUUACGCUAAUACCGCAUACGACCUACGGGUGAAAGCAGGGGAUCUUCGGACCUUGCGCGAUUGAAUGAGCCGAUGUCGGAUUAGCUAGUUGGCGGGGUAAAGGCCCACCAAGGCGACGAUCCGUAGCUGGUCUGAGAGGAUGAUCAGCCACACUAGAACUGAGACACGGUCCAGACUCCUACGGGAGGCAGCAGUGGGGAAUAUUGGACAAUGGGCGCAAGCCUGAUCCAGCCAUACCGCGUGGGUGAAGAAGGCCUUCGGGUUGUAAAGCCCUUUUGUCGGGAAAGAAAAGCAGCAGGUUAAUACCCCGCUGUUCUGACGGUACCCAAAGAAUAAGCACCGGCUAACUUCGUG
rnacentral:rRNA from 1 species